rnacentral:rRNA from 1 species
AACGCGUAUGCAACCUACCUCAAUCAGGGGGAUAGCCCGAAGAAAUUCGGAUUAACACCGCAUAAAAACACAGGAUAGCAUUAUCCAAUGUUCAAAUAUUUAUAGGAUUGAGAUGGGCAUGCGUGUCAUUAGCUAGUUGGCGGGGUAACGGCCCACCAAGGCGACGAUGACUAGGGGAUCUGAGAGGAUGACCCCCCACACUGGUACUGAGACACGGACCAGACUCCUACGGGAGGCAGCAGUAAGGAAUAUUGGUCAAUGGAGGCAACUCUGAACCAGCCAUGCCGCGUGCAGGAAGACAGCCCUCUGGGUCGUAAACUGCUUUUAUUCGGGAAUAAACCUUAUUACGUGUAAUAAGCUGAAUGUACCGAAGGAAUAAGGAUCGGCUAACUCCGUGCCAGCAGCCGCGGUAAUACGGAGGAUCCAAGCGUUAUCCGGAUUUAUUGGGUUUAAAGGGUGCGUAGGCGGCUUAUUAAGUCAGGGGUGAAAGACGGUGGCUCAACCAUCGCAGUGCCUUUGAUACUGAUGAGCUUGAAUGAACUAGAGGUAGGCGGAAUGUGACAAGUAGCGGUGAAAUGCAUAGAUAUGUCACAGAACACCGAUUGCGAAGGCAGCUUACUAUGGUUUUAUUGACGCUGAGGCACGAAAGCGUGGGGAUCAAACAGGAUUAGAUACCCUGGAGUCCACGCCCUAAACGAUGAAU